rnacentral:rRNA from 1 species
GACGAACGCUGGCGGCGUGCUUAACACAUGCAAGUCGAACGGAAAGGCCCUGCUUUUGUGGGGUGCUCGAGUGGCGAACGGGUGAGUAACACGUGAGUAACCUGCCCUUGACUUUGGGAUAACUUCAGGAAACUGGGGCUAAUACCGGAUAGGAGCUCCUGCUGCAUGGUGGGGGUUGGAAAGUUUCGGCGGUUGGGGAUGUACUCGCGGCUUAUCAGCUUGUUGGUGGGGUAGUGGCUUACCAAGGCUUUGACGGGUAGCCGGCCUGAGAGGGUGACCGGCCACAUUGGGACUGAGAUACGGCCCAGACUCCUACGGGAGGCAGCAGUGGGGAAUAUUGCACAAUGGGCGGAAGCCUGAUGCAGCAACGCCGCGUGCGGGAUGACGGCCUUCGGGUUGUAAACCGCUUUCGCCUGUGACGAAGCGUGAGUGACGGUAAUGGGUAAAGAAGCACCGGCUAACUACGUG